rnacentral:rRNA from 1 species
UACGUAGGUGGCAAGCGUUAUCCGGAAUUAUUGGGCGUAAAGAGCGCGCAGGUGGUUGAUUAAGUCUGAUGUGAAAGCCCACGGCUUAACCGUGGAGGGUCAUUGGAAACUGGUCGACUUGAGUGCAGAAGAGGGAAGUGGAAUUCCUAGUGUAGCGGUGAAAUGCGUAGAUAUUAGGAGGAACACCAGUUGCGAAGGCGGCUCUCUGGACUGUAACUGACACUGAGGCACGAAAGCGUGGGGAGCAAACAGGAUUAGAUACCCCGGUAGU